CAAGAACGUCAUAACUCCACGUUGGUGUCCUGUCAUUGAUGGUGCACAUGCAAGAAUGCUGCGUAUUCUCUUCAAAUAAACUGGCUGGUGGUGUUGUGGCAUCCGCACUGGACUUUAAGUCAAGGUAAUCCGACCUGGUACGUUGUUGCCAGGGAUACAGUUGUCACUGACUUCAUUGAGACCUGCGUGGAUGAGCGUGCCUGUUUGAGAACAUACUGGAUAUACACAAACCAGAAGCUGUGGAUGGAUCAGAAGAUUCAACG